rnacentral:rRNA from 1 species
AGAGUUUGAUCAUGGCUCAGAUUGAACGCUGGCGGCAUGCCUUACACAUGCAAGUCGAACGGUAACAGGUCUUCGGAUGCUGACGAGUGACGAACGGGUGAGUAAUACAUCAGAACGUGCCCGAUCGUGGGGGAUAACGAAGCGAAAGCUUUGCUAAUACCGCAUACGAUCUACGGAUGAAAGCAGGGGACCGCAAGGCCUUGCGCGAACGGAGCGGCCGAUGGCAGAUUAGGUAGUUGGUGGGAUAAAAGCUUACCAAGCCGACGAUCUGUAGCUGGUCUGAGAGGACGACCAGCCACACUGGGACUGAGACACGGCCCAGACUCCUACGGGAGGCAGCGGUGGGGAAUUUUGGACAAUGGGCGAAAGCCUGAUCCAGCCAUGCCGCGUGCAGGAUGAAGGCCUUCGGGUUGUAAACUGCUUUUGUACGGAACGAAAAGACUCUGGUUAAUACCUGGGGUCCAUGACGGUACCGUAAGAAUAAGCACCGGCUAACUACGUGCCAGCAGCCGCGGUAAUACGUAGGGUCCGAGCGUUGUCCGGAAUUACUGGGCGUAAAGAGCUCGUAGGUGGUUUGUCGCGUUGUUCGUGAAAACUCACAGCUUAACUGUGGGCGUGCGGGCGAUACGGGCAGACUAGAGUACUGCAGGGGAGACUGGAAUUCCUGGUGUAGCGGUGGAAUGCGCAGAUAUCAGGAGGAACACCGGUGGCGAAGGCGGGUCUCUGGGCAGUAACUGACGCUGAGGAGCGAAAGCGUGGGUAGCGAACAGGAUUAGAUACCCCGGUAGUCCAA